rnacentral:rRNA from 1 species
GCGUGAGGGAUGACGGCCUUCGGGUUGUAAACCUCUUUCAGUAGGGAAGAAGCGAAAGUGACGGUACCUGCAGAAGAAGCGCCGGCUAACUACGUGCUAGCAGCCGCGGUAAUACGUAGGGCGCAAGGUUAUCCGGAAUUAUUGGGCGUAAAGAGCUCGUAGGCGGUUUGUCGCGUCUGCCGUGAAAGUCCGGGGCUCAACUCCGGAUCUGCGGUGGGUACGGGCAGACUAGAGUGAUGUAGGGGAGACUGGAAUUCCUGGUGUAGCGGUGAAAUGCGCAGAUAUCAGGAGGAACACCGAUGGCGAA